AGCGAACGCUGGCGGCGUGCCUAACACAUGCAAGUCGAGCGAGAGGAGUUCUUCGGAACGAAUCUAGCGGCGGACGGGUGAGUAACACGUGGGCAACCUGCCUUAUAGAGGGGAAUAGCCUUCCGAAAGGAAGAUUAAUACCGCAUAACAUUGCAUUUUCGCAUGAAGAAGCAAUUAAAGGAGCAAUCCGCUAUAAGAUGGGCCCGCGGCGCAUUAGCUAGUUGGUGAGGUAACGGCUCACCAAGGCGACGAUGCGUAGCCGACCUGAGAGGGUGAUCGGCCACAUUGGGACUGAGACACGGCCCAGACUCCUACGGGAGGCAGCAGUGGGGAAUAUUGCACAAUGGGGGAAACCCUGAUGCAGCAACGCCGCGUGAGUGAUGAAGGUUUUCGGAUCGUAAAACUCUGUCUUUGGGGACGAUAAUGACGGUACCCAAGGAGGAAGCCACGGCUAACUACGUGCCAGCAGCCGCGGUAAGAC
rnacentral:rRNA from 1 species